rnacentral:rRNA from 1 species
GACGAACGCUGGCGGCGUGCUUAACACAUGCAAGUCGAACGGAAAGGCCUGCUUUCCCUCUCGGAUUGCGGGUACUCGAGUGGCGAACGGGUGAGUAACACGUGAGUGAUCUGCCCCCAACUUGGGGAUAAGCCUCGGAAACUGGUUCUAAUUCCGGCUAGGACUGCAGGGUGGUGCCUGUGGAGGAAACCGACUUUUUAGUGGUUCGGUAUGGGCUCGCGGCCUAGUAGCUUGUUGGGGGGGUAAUGGCCGACCAAGGCGGCGGCGGGUAGCCGAGGGGAGAGGGUGGACGGGGAAAUUGGGACUGAGACACGCCCCAGACUCAGGCGGGAGGAGGGAGUGGGGGACAAUGCGCAAAGGGCGGAAGCAUGAUGCCGGGACGCCGCGUGGAGGAUGACGGGCUGUGAAUUGCAAACUUCUGUCAAGCGCGCUGAAGCGACCUGGUUGGAAGGGUAGUGAGGGUAGUAGUAGAAGAAGCACCGGCAAACUCGGU